UACGAAGGGGGCUAGCGUUGCUCGGAAUCACUGGGCGUAAAGCGCACGUAGGCGGAUUGUUAAGUCAGGGGUGAAAUCCUGGAGCUCAACUCCAGAACUGCCUUUGAUACUGGCGAUCUCGAGUUCGGGAGAGGUGAGUGGAACUGCGAGUGUAGAGGUGAAAUUCGUAGAUAUUCGCAAGAACACCAGUGGCGAAGGCGGACUCACUGGCC
rnacentral:rRNA from 1 species